rnacentral:rRNA from 1 species
AGAGUUUGAUCAUGGCUCAGAACGAACGCUGGCGGCGUGCCUAACACAUGCAAGUCGAGCGAGAAAGGGGAGCAAUCCCCAAGUAAAGCGGCAGACGGGUGAGUAACACGUGGGUAAUCUACCCUCGAGCGGGGAAUAACAUCUCGAAAGAGGUGCUAAUACCGCAUAACAUCCAGGGGUCCGAGGGCCUCUGGAUCAAUGGUGGGGAUCUUCGGACCUACCACUUGAGGAGGAGCCCGCGCCUGAUUAGCUAGUUGGUGGGGUAAUGGCCUACCAAGGCGACGAUCAGUAGCCGGCCUGAGAGGGUGAACGGCCACACUGGAACUGAGACACGGUCCAGACUCCUACGGGAGGCAGCAGUGAGGAAUUUUGCGCAAUGGGCGAAAGCCUGACGCAGCAACGCCGCGUGGACGAUGAAGGUCUUCGGAUCGUAAAGUCCUGUCGAGUGGGAAGAAAAAUGCGGAGUCUAAUACACUCCGUAUUCGACUGUACCACCAAAGGAAGCCCCGGCUAACUCCGUGCCAGCAGCCGCGGUAAUACGGAGGGGGCCAGCGUUGUUCGGAAUUAUUGGGCGUAAAGGGCGCGUAGGCGGCCGGAUAAGUCUGACGUGAAAUCCCUCGGCCCAACCGGGGAACUGCGUUUGAAACUGUUCGGCUCGAGUCCGGGAGAGGGUAGUGGAAUUCCCAGUGUAGCGGUGAAAUGCGUAGAUAUUGGGAGGAACACCGGUGGCGAAGGCGGCUACCUGGACCGGAACUGACGCUGAGGCGCGAAAGCUGGGGUAGCAAACAGGAUUAGAUACCCUAGUAGUCC